rnacentral:rRNA from 1 species
GACGAACGCUGGCGGCGUGCCUAAUACAUGCAAGUGGGACGCAAGGAAACACACUGUGCUUGCACACCGUGUUUUCUUGAGUCGCGAACGGGUGAGUAACGCGUAGGUAACCUGCCUAUUAGCGGGGGAUAACUAUUGGAAACGAUAGCUAAUACCGCAUAAUAUAAAUUAUUGCAUGAUAAUUGAUUGAAAGAUGCAAGCGCAUCACUAGUAGAUGGACCUGCGUUGUAUUAGCUAGUUGGUAAGGUAAGAGCUUACCAAGGCGACGAUACAUAGCCGACCUGAGAGGGUGAUCGGCCACACUGGGACUGAGACACGGCCCAGACUCCUACGGGAGGCAGCAGUAGGGAAUCUUCGGCAAUGGACGAAAGUCUGACCGAGCAACGCCGCGUGAGUGAAGAAGGUUUUCGGAUCGUAAAGCUCUGUUGUAAGUCAAGAACGUGUGUGAGAGUGGAAAGUUCACACAGUGACGGUAGCUUACCAGAAAGGGACGGCUAACUACGUG